rnacentral:rRNA from 1 species
CCUACGGGAGGCAGCAGUGGGGAAUAUUGCGCAAUGGGCGGAAGCCUGACGCAGCGACGCCGCGUGGGGGAUGACGGCCUUCGGGUUGUAAACCUCUUUCAGCAGGGACGAAGCGGAAGUGACGGUACCUGCAGAAGAAGCACCGGCCAACUACGUGCCAGCAGCCGCGGUAAU